rnacentral:rRNA from 1 species
ANAUUUAUCGCCGAAAGAUCGGCCCGCGUCUGAUUAGCUAGUUGGUGAGGUAAUGGCUCACCAAGGCGACGAUCAGUAGCUGGUCUGAGAGGAUGAUCAGCCACAUUGGGACUGAGACACGGCCCAAACUCCUACGGGAGGCAGCAGUGGGGAAUAUUGGACAAUGGGGGCAACCCUGAUCCAGCCAUGCCGCGUGAGUGAUGAAGGCCCUAGGGUUGUAAAGCUCUUUUGUGCGGGAAGAUAAUGACGGUACCGCAAGAAUAAGCCCCGGCUAACUUCGUGCCAGCAGCCGCGGUAAUACGAAGGGGGCUAGCGUUGCUCGGAAUCACUGGGCGUAAAGGGUGCGUAGGCGGGUCUUUAAGUCAGGGGUGAAAUCCUGGAGCUCAACUCCAGAACUGCCUUUGAUACUGAGGAUCUUGAGUUCGGGAGAGGUGAGUGGAACUGCGAGUGUAGAGGUGAAAUUCGUAGAUAUUCGCAAGAACACCAGUGGCGAAGGCGGCUCACUGGCCCGAUACUGACGCUGANGCACGAAAGCGUGGGGAGCAAACAGGAUUA